CGUAGGGGGGCAAGCGUUGUCCGGAUUUAUUGGGCGUAAAGCGCUCGCAGGUGGUUCGUCGCGUCGUGCGUGAAAGACCCCGGCUCAACUGGGGAGGGUCGUGCGAUACGGGCGGACUGGAGGCCAGUAGGGGGAUGCGGAAUUCCGGGUGUAGUGGUGGAAUGCGUAGAGAUCCGGAGGAACACCAGCGGCGAAGGCGGCAUCCUGGACUGGUCCUGACACUCAGGAGCGAAAGCGUGGGGAGCGAUCCGGAUUAGAUACCCGGGUAGUCCACGCUGUAAACGAUGCGCACUAGGUGUCGGGGGUAUCGACCCCCUCGGUGCCGCAGCUAACGCGAUAAGUGCGCCGCCUGGGGACUACGGCCGCAAGGCUA
rnacentral:rRNA from 1 species